GGCCUUGACAUACUAAGAACUUUCCAGAGAUGGAUUGGUGCCUUCGGGAACUUAGAUACAGGUGCUGCAUGGCUGUCGUCAGCUCGUGUCGUGAGAUGUUGGGUUAAGUCCGCAACGAGCGCAACCCUUUUCCUAUUUGCCAGCGGGUAAUGCCGGGAACUUUUAAGGAUACUGCCAGUGACAAACUGGAGGAAGGCGGGGACGACGUCAAGUCAUCAUGGCCCUUACGGCCAGGGCUACACACGUGCUACAAUGGUCGGUACAAAGGGUUGCUACCUCGCGAGAGGAUGCUAAUCUCAAAAAGCCGAUCGUAGUCCGGAUCGCAGUCUGCAACUCGACUGCGUGAAGUCGGAAUCGCUAGUAAUCGCGGAUCAGAAUGCCGCGGUGAAUACGUUCCCGGGCCUUGUACACACCGCCCGUCACACCAUGGGAGUUUGUUGCACCAGAAGUAGGUAGUCUAACCGCAAGGAGGACGCUUACCACGGUGUGGCCGAUGACUGGGGUGAAGUCGUAACAAGGUAGGCGUAGAUGA
rnacentral:rRNA from 1 species